rnacentral:lncRNA from 1 species
CCUAGAGAGACCUACAAGGUGCACUACAAGAAAAAUGAAUUUUGGCGGCCACUUUUCUGCGGCGACAAGCACUGUCGCCACCUAUGUAGAAGAUAUGGUGGCGACAAAUAAAUGUCGCCGCCAAUACAUAAACAAUGGUGGCGACAAAUAAAUGUCGCCGCCAAUACAUAAACAAUGGUGACGACAAAUAAAUGUCGCCGCGAAUACAUAAACAAUGGUGGCGACUUUUGUCACCGCGGAAUAUUUCCAUACAUCCCGCCUUUUUUUCCCUCCAUUUUUUUACACCAACCAGCACCAUUUUUUUUUGUUGGACUAUUAUGCCCUUACUUAUUCUAUAUAUUAUAUGUGUAAAUAGUUGGACUAUUUUGUCUUUUCACAAAUUAAAAAUAUACAAAUAAUAUGUACUGAGAAAAAAUUCCUAAACCCCAAAUCCCUAAAUCCCUAAAGCCUCUGUCUCUCCCACCGCCCUCCAAAUCCCUAAAGCCUCUGUCUCUCCCACCGCCCCUCAAAGGAUCUUCCAAGGCGAGGCAGCACUACGCCACAAAUUAUUUUUGGUGGCACUAUUUUGGUGGCUCUUUUAAAAAAAGCAAGUAAAAAUUAAUUAUUAGUG